GUUGAAGAACGUAGCGAAAUGCGAUAAGUAAUGCGAAUUGCAGAAUUCAGUGAGUCAUCGAAUCUUUGAACGCACAUUGCGCCCUGUGGUAUUCCGCAGGGCAUGCCUGUUCGAGCGUCAUUUCAACCCUCAAGCCUCGCUUGGUGUUGGGCCCUGCCCGCCGCGGCCGGCCCUAAAGAUAGUGGCGGCGCCGCCUGGCCCUCAGCGUAGUACAGCUCUCGCUCCAGGGUCCGGCGGCAGCCUGCCAGAACCCCCCAACUCUGUGGUUGACCUCGGAUCAGGUAGGGAUACCCGCUGAACUUAAGCAUAUCAAUAAGCGGAGGA
rnacentral:misc_RNA from 1 species